UACGUAGGGUGCGAGCGUUAAUCGGAAUUACUGGGCGUAAAGCGUGCGCAGGCGGUCCGCAAAGUCUGAUGUGAAAGCCCCGGGCUCAACCUGGGAACUGCAUUGGAAACUAACGGGCUCGAGUGUGGCAGAGGGGGGUGGAAUUCCACGUGUAGCAGUGAAAUGCGUAGAGAUGUGGAGGAACACCGAUGGCGAAGGCAGCCCCCUGGGCUAACACUGACGCUGAGGCGCGAAAGCUAGGGGAGCAAACGGG
rnacentral:rRNA from 1 species